rnacentral:misc_RNA from 1 species
CAAUCGUCGGUUUUGCCAACCAAACGUGCUUCAUUUUCCAUCCAACUGAAGAUUCGCAUCAUUUUUUUGUAUUGUAUCUUUUCCCGAUUCCGAGUCCGGAUCAGAGUUCAGAUUCUGUUGAUAGUGAAUCGGGGUUUUUGCCAAUCAAAUUUUGAAGAGAAUGCAACAGGAGUAUACAACUGGAGUAUAACGAUAGAAAAUCAUAAAAGGAUAUCGACGACGACGGUGACGCUUUUCUGCAAAUGCUGUAAGGAUAUUGAUAUUGCGUACGCAGAUUCGUACGCUUUGGCCAUUCAACAGCCUAAGCCUGAGAACCUCGCAACCUCUCAACCUCGCAACCUCUCACCUCUGCUAUUUGUCGCCGUAUCGAUUUUCCGUUACAUCGUUAUACACACACACUAACUAACCCAGUUGGCACUGGCCCACUGCCAUUACGCAUACGCCCCGUGGCCCGACUCUUCGCCCGCCUAUCCGCCCGUCUCCCGCACACACGCACAACCAUCCGCAGAUGAGAGCGGCUCGGUGUGUGUGUAAGAGCGCGAGUGUGAGCCUGUGUGUGGGUUAGGUGGCAUAUGUAUGUAUAUGUAUCUGUAGCAGGUUCGAUAUCAAUAUUCGACUUGUGGCCACAAUUUGUUGCAUCUCGGAGGCACUGGAAGCAUGUUUCAUUUGGCACGGACAAACCAUUUAGGGCUACAAUAGCAAUAGCCACUCUGUACAUAGACAGACACCACUCAUCACCAAGGAGGAAGGCAUCAGAAACGCCACUAACGCCGCAUCCAAACAUCCAAACUCGUGACUUUAGUUUACAAAAACCAAACAUCCAACUUGAAUCCCGAAAGAAAGAUGGCGAGCUAUCAGCUAUGGCAGAUGCAGCCAGGGAACUUGGCGGUAAUGAUGCUGCUCCUGGUGCUCCAUCAGGUGCUGGCCCAGGGCCCGCCGCCGCUGCAGGUGUGCCCGGAGCAGAGCGACAUCUCGCCCUGCAUCUGUACGGUGAAGAAGAACGGCCUGGACAUCCUGUGCGAGACCACGGAUCUGGCCCACAUUACCAAGUCAAUGGGCACGCUCAAGGGCAAGAGCCCCAUCAUUUUUUACCUUAAGCUGCGCCACAACAACCUGCCCAAGCUGCAGGGCUUCGUCUUCCUAGCCCUGGACAUCCGCCACCUGACCAUUCACAACAGCAGCCUGGCGGCCAUCGAGGAGAAUGCCCUCAGUUCAUUGGGCAAGGGCCUUACCCAGCUGGAUGUGUCUCUCAACCAAAUGAAGACUGUGCCCUCACAGGCACUGCAGCAUCUGUUCCACCUGUUGAUCCUCAAUCUCAAUCACAACAAAAUCUCGGUGAUCCACAACAAUGCCUUCGAGGGCUUGGAGACCUUGGAGAUUCUCACGCUCUACGAGAACAAGAUUACGCAAAUAGACCCAGAGGCUUUCCGUGGACUAGAGAGCAAACUAAAACGUCUGAAUCUGGGUGGUAACGACCUGAACAGUGUCCCUCAAAAGGCUCUGUCCAUUCUGGACACACUCAAGAAGUUGGAAAUCCAGGAAAAUAAGAUACGUACCAUUAGCGAAGGAGAUUUUGAAGGUUUGCAGAACUUGGACUCCUUGAUCUUGGCCCACAACAUGAUCACCGCAGUGCCUGCCAAUGUCUUUUCGCAUCUCUCACAGCUGAACUCCUUGGAGUUGGAGGGCAACAAGAUCAGUGUCAUUGACAAAGAUGCUUUCAAAGGACUAGAAGAAAACCUGCAAUAUCUACGCCUGGGUGACAACCAAAUCCACACCAUUCCCAGUGAGGCACUGCGUCCUCUGCACCGUCUCCGGCAUCUGGAUUUGCGCAACAAUAAUAUCAAUGUUCUGGCCGAAGAUGCUUUCACAGGCUUUGGAGACUCUCUAACUUUCCUAAAUCUUCAGAAGAAUGACAUCAAAGUGUUGCCCAGUGUCCUUUUCGAGAAUCUCAACUCGCUGGAGACCUUGAAUCUGCAAAACAAUAAGCUGCAGCGCAUACCCCAGGAUAUAAUGGAGCCUGUUAUAGAUACUCUACGCAUUAUCGAUAUAACCGAUAAUCCACUGAACUGCUCCUGUGAGCUGAUCUGGUUCCCCAAGCUGUUGGAGGACCUGAAGAACAAGGACGACGAAAUGUCGCAGAAGAAGAAGCCGCUGUGCCACAUGUCGCUGGACAAUCGCGAGUACUUCGUCCAGGCGAUGCCCACCGAGAAGAUGCACUGCUCCGGCCUCAAUGUGAGUCCCUCGCCUACCAGCGGCGGUCUGAUGCGGAUCCUGCAAGUGAACAUCCUGGCCCAGAUUGCCGUGUGUAGCGUGGCGUUUCUGACUAGCGUUUAAAAACGAAUCUCGCCAUUCGCUAUUCGCCAUUCGCCAUCUAUCUAUCUUACUAACUGUCUAUCUGUAUAGCUAGACGCGAUGUUCUAUGUGGAUUAUAGAGAAUCCGUGAAUUAUGCAACUCUGCCACUAAUUAGAGUCAGAAAGCACGCUUUUCGAAGCCACCAAGCAGAGAAGCAGAGGGCAGCAGCCUGGCACAGCAACCACCCGAUAAAGAAGCCACCAGCCAAAUCAAAAAAAAACCAACAACUCGAGAGAUUGCACAGUAGCUCGACACGAAUGGGGAUAUAUAUAUACAGAAUACAGAUAUAUAAACACUGCUGAGGAUUCAAGGAGUCGGCAGGAUAUUGUUAACGGACAUAGCUUAGUUGUAAGGCUUGAUUUAGGCACAAGGGAAACCCAAAUCGAAAUUGAAACUCAAACAUAUCAGAAAAAUAUUGUUAUUAUUAAGAAAAAAGAAAAUUCGUUGUUACGAUUACACCCCCAGAUAGUCCUUGCCCGACAGGAUAUUAAUGUGCAAUUAAGCCAACAUUUAUUAUGUGUAGUCUAUCGUCGUCUUGUCGUCGGUGUUGUGAGAUACAAUCAUUAUAAAACGCGUUCUUAGCAUCCGCACCUGAGAUCAUCAGAUCACCAACCAGUUCCACCUUUACUCCUACCCCUAUACCAUUCCUACCAUUCCUAAAUCCUGGGCAGGAUUCCAAACACAACUCCGAGAAUAUUCAUUUGCAUCAAUCCCCAAGAACUGAUUAUGGAAUAAGUAGUUUGUACUCUUUAUUUGCCACAAACGACGGGGCAAGUACUCCCAAAAAGAAAUCUUGACAAAAAAACAAUCCCACUUCCCAACACAACAAAACAAAAUCGAGAAUGCAUAUCGUUAUUAUAUUGUUAUAUUAUAUAUAUCGUGACAUAUCAAGCUAAAAUAGUGACAUUUUAUAGUACAUUUACUUACAUUUUUGAGGCAUCUGGAUAAAGUUUAAAAAUAUAUUUACGCAAGAGGCAAGUUAAAAGUUAAAAAAAAGAAUAGAGAAACGUGAAAUUAGCUAAUGUAUGUUUGUAUGUAUUGCCGAGUGGAAUUUUUGAAAUUUUUUUAUACAUCUACUUUUAUACACGAAACAUACACGUUCAUUAAGUUCCAAUUCAAUUAGUUGUACAAACCGGAUGCCGUUUCCGCUCUCCGAUCCUAUCGCUUCCGCUUCCUUUGACCUCUCCAUCCGGUCGGUGGCUUGGGUCAGUAGCCACCCACCCAAUGGUGGGGCGGGGCAAUAGCAGUGGAUAACGGUACUGGUUAGGAUAUUGGUAACGGUAUCCAACAAUAAUAUUUUCAAAAGAAUGCGCUGCACCACCGAUUCGGGUCAGUUUCCUUUGGCAAAAGCUAUUCUUUUCAAAAUAUUACGAAACAAACUGUAAGCCGGGUAUUCGUAAUGCUCUAUAGCUCACAUGGGUGAGCUAAUAUAUUCCCUAAAUGGGGAAUAUAUCCGAGAAUCCAACAAAUAAAGAAUCCAUAUUGGUUACAAAUGCAA